GAUGAACGCUAGCGGCAGGCUUAACACAUGCAAGUCGAGGGGUAACAGGGAGCUUGCUCCGCUGACGACCGGCGCACGGGUGCGUAACGCGUAUAGAACCUACCUUUUACAGAGGAAUAGCCUUUAGAAAUGAAGAUUAAUGCCUCAUGGUAUUGUAGACUGGCAUCAGUUUAUAAUUAAAGAUUUAUCGGUAAAAGAUGGCUAUGCGUCCUAUUAGUUAGUUGGUAAGGUAACGGCUUACCAAGACAGCGAUAGGUAGGGGUCCUGAGAGGGAGAUCCCCCACACUGGUACUGAGACACGGACCAGACUCCUACGGGAGGCAGCAGUGAGGAAUAUUGGACAAUGGAGGAGACUCUGAUCCAGCCAUGCCGCGUGUAGGAAGAAUGCCCUAUGGGUUGUAAACUACUUUUAUACAGGAAGAAACACUGGUAUGUAUACCAGCUUGACGGUACUGUAAGAAUAAGGACCGGCUAACUCCGUGCCAGCAGCCGCGGUAAUACGGAGGGUCCGAGCGUUAUCCGGAAUCAUUGGGUUUAAAGGGUCCGCAGGCGGUCGAUUAAGUCAGAGGUGAAAUCCCAUAGCUCAACUAUGGAACUGCCUUUGAUACUGGUUGACUUGAGUCAUAUGGAAGUAGAUAGAAUGUGUAGUGUAGCGGUGAAAUGCAUAGAUAUUACACAGAAUACCGAUUGCGAAGGCAGACUACUACGUAUGUACUGACGCUGAGGGACGAAAGCGUGGGGAGCGAACAGGAUUAGAUACCCUGGUAGUCCACGCCGUAAACGAUGGAUACUAGUUGUUGGGAUUUAUCUCAGUGACUAA
rnacentral:rRNA from 1 species